GUGCUCGCUUCGGCAGCACAUAUACUAAAAUUGGAACUAUGCAGAGAAGAUUAGCAUGGCCCCUGCACAAAGA
ensembl:snRNA U6 U6 spliceosomal RNA